CAAUAGCGUAUAUUAAAGUUGUUGCGGUUAAAAAGCUCGUAGUUGGAUUUCUGCUGAGAACGACCGGUCCGCCCUUUGGGUGUGUAUCUGGCUCUUUCUUGGCAUCUUCUUGGUGAACGUUGCUGCACUUGACUGUGUGGAGCGCUACCCAGGACUUUUACUUUGAGGAAAUUAGAGUGUUUCAAGCAGGCAUACGCCUUGAAUACAUUAGCAUGGAAUAAUAAGGUAGGACCUCGGUUCUAUUUUGUUGGUUUCUAGAGCUGAGGUAAUGAUUAAUAGGGAUAGUUGGGGGCAUUCGUAUUUAACUGUCAGAGGUGAAAUUCUUGGAUUUGUUAAAGACGGACUACUGCGAANGNAUUUGCNAAGGAUGUUUNCAUUG
rnacentral:rRNA from 1 species